rnacentral:rRNA from 1 species
UACGAAGGGGGCUAGCGUUGCUCGGAAUCACUGGGUUUAAAGGGUGCGUAGGUGGUCCGUUAAGUUCGUUGUGAAAGCCCUGGGCUCAACCCAGGAACUGCUUCGAAUACUGGCGGACUUGAGGCUAGUAGAGGUCACUGGAACUGACGGUGGAGCGGUGAAAUGCGUAGAUAUCGUCAGGAACGCCAAUGGUGAAGACAGGUGACUGGGCUAGUUCUGACACUGAGGCACGAAAGCGUGGGGAUCAAACGGG